GACAGCCCCAUCAUCAGGAACCUCAAACCCAAGACCCUGGUAAGGUUAAAAUCCUGUUAAAAUUGUGAUUUAUUGAUACCUGCACCACCUGUCCACCAGGGACAGCCCCAUCAUCAGGAACCUCAAACCCGAGACCCUGGUGAGGCUGAGAGGGGUUAAAAUCCUGCUGAAAUCUGAAUUUAUAUAUGGUAACCUCAAACCCGAGACCCUGAUCGAUUCCUUCGAGCUGCUCUACUACUACGACGAGUAUUUGGGGCACUCCAUGUGGUACAUCCCGUUCUUCCUGAUCCUCUUCAUUUACUUCAGCGGCUGCUUCACGCCGGCGGCGCAGCAGAGCCGGAUGCCCCUGGCUGCCCUGCUCCUGGUGGGGCCCAGCAGCCUCUACUACUGGUGAGUGCCCCCGGAGCCUCGGGAUCCACGGGGAAUUCCCCCGGGAAUCCCCCGGGAAUUCCACUGGAAGAGCUGCUCCACCCCCCAGGGCGGAGUUUGCUCCGCGGGGCUGGAAAAUCAAAUUAAAACUGGGGGGGAAUUGAAUCCCUGGGGGGUGGGACAGCUCCAGGGUCAGCGCUG
rnacentral:lncRNA from 1 species